AAACUCAGUAUAGUGUGAAACUAUUGUCAAAAUAGGACGUAACCCAAGUGGUGGAUCUUUUGUAAAAUACUUUUACAGGCAAAAAUUUAGUAAAAAAUAGCGAAAUACAAAGUAUCCCAAGAUAUAUUCGGCAGCUUGCUCAUUCCCAUCAUUCGCAGUAGAGAUGCAAAAUCGGACCAGAACCGGGUCCGGAAUCGCAGAAGUUCGAGCACCGGAGAGGAUAGCGGGCCAUGCUGAUAGAUAUGAUGAGAACAGGCAACAUACUGACAAGGUCUUCAAUUAGAAGUCACUUAACAGGCCACCAGCCUUUGUCAAUCUUUCCAUAUUUCCAGCCUUAAUGCACAUAUCCAAAGAAGGCGCCAAGCGAUUGGCACCGCCCAGAGAUACCGUAAAAAGAAAAUACAUUGUCGAUUUAUUCAAGAACUGCUAUGAUGCCGGUGAUUUCCUAUCUCAUCUGCCAGUGCCCCGAGAUGGGGCAUUCGUUAUAUUUCACAUGCGUCCAAAUCUAUGAAAAACUCUCUAAUCUGCGAGAAAAAACCAGAUUCUAAAUUUUAAAUUUACGUAAACAAGUUUAACCCAUCAUAGCAGUUAGUUUUUAGUCUUGUAACGAACCUAAAAGGAUUCCCCCGACAUAUUAUAAGCAUAAAACCUGAUACUAA